rnacentral:rRNA from 1 species
GACGAACGCUGGCGGCGUGCUUAACACAUGCAAGUCGAACGGUGAAGCGCCUUCCUUUUUGGUGGGUGUGGAUGAGUGGCGAACGGGUGAGUAACACGUGAGUAACCUGCCCCCUUCUUCUGGAUAACCGCAUGAAAGUGUGGCUAAUACGGGAUAUUCUGGGUCUGUCGCAUGAUGGGUCUGGGAAAGAUAUUGUUUCGGUGGGGGAUGGGCUCGCGGCCUAUCAGCUUGUUGGUGGGGUGAUGGCCUACCAAGGCGGUGACGGGUAGCCGGCCUGAGAGGGUGGACGGUCACACUGGGACUGAGACACGGCCCAGACUCCUACGGGAGGCAGCAGUGGGGAAUAUUGCACAAUGGGCGCAAGCCUGAUGCAGCGACGCCGCGUGAGGGAUGGAGGCCUCCGGGUUGUGAACCUCUUUCGCCAGUGAAGCAGGCCUGCCUCGUUUGUGGGUGGGUUGACGGUAGCUGGAUAAGAAGCGCCGGCUAACUACGUG